rnacentral:rRNA from 1 species
CGCUUCGGUGGUGGAUUAGUGGCGAACGGGUGAGUAACACGUGGGCAAUCUGCCCUGCACUCUGGGACAAGCCCUGGAAACGGGGUCUAAUACCGGAUAUGACUACUGAUCGCAUGGUUAGUGGUGGAAAGCUCCGGCGGUGCAGGAUGAGCCCGCGGCCUAUCAGCUUGUUGGUGGGGUGAUGGCCUACCAAGGCGACGACGGGUAGCCGGCCUGAGAGGGCGACCGGCCACACUGGGACUGAGACACGGCCCAGACUCCUACGGGAGGCAGCAGUGGGGAAUAUUGCACAAUGGGCGAAAGCCUGAUGCAGCGACGCCGCGUGAGGGAUGACGGCCUUCGGGUUGUAAACCUCUUUCAGCAGGGAAGAAGCGAGAGUGACGGUACCUGCAGAAGAAGCGCCGGCUAACUACGUGCCAGCAGCCGCGGUAAUACGUAGGGCGCGAGCGUUGUCCGGAAUUAUUGGGCGUAAAGAGCUCGUAGGCGGCUUGUCACGUCGGAUGUGAAAGCCCGGGGCUUAACCCCGGGUCUGCAUUCGAUACGGGCAGGCUAGAGUUCGGUAGGGGAGAUCGGAAUUCCUGGUGUAGCGGUGAAAUGCGCAGAUAUCAGGAGGAACACCGGUGGCGAAGGCGGAUCUCUGGGCCGAUACUGACGCUGAGGAGCGAAAGCGUGGGGAGCGAACAGGAUUAGAUACCCUGGUAGUCCACGCCGUAAACGUUGGGAACUAGGUGUGGGCGACA